GGAACACUCCUUCCUGCUGAUACGAAAAUAUUAAUUUCAGUGAAAGCCAGAGGGACAGCUUUUCGUGUGUGGAGAAUGUUGCUUUGUCCUGUGGUGACUACAGUUAUUAUCUGAAAUCCUGUGAUGUUCCUGUUUAUCAAAAUGCCUUCAAGACAAGCAGAGAAAAGGUUUGGAAUUUGUAUAAAUCACAAGGGAAAAAAAAAAAGGCUUGAGGUGGAGUUAUGCUGUACUUAAGGUCAUAUUAAGAAAAGCAGCUGUGGGGUUCAGCUGAGCAGGAGAUCCACAGUGCAAAAUGGUCACCAGGGUGUGAGACACUGUUGACUCUCAGUUCUCCCAGCUGUCUGAGAGAGGUAAGGUGAAACACAGCCUACAGGUUUCUGUUUCUCCCCAUUAUCUUCCCAGGGAAUGGGAGUGACCAAGUUCAGAGUGUAUCUUACUCCAUGGUAGGUGAGGAGAGCUCCGUUCCCGAUGCCUGGCGAGUGCCACACACAAGGUGGAAUUUGGUGGAUGAGGAAGGGAGAGAGGACGAACAUUCAGUGCUGCAUAGGAUCUUGCAGCACACCUGAGAACUGGACUUUAGGACAGCAGAGAGAUUUUAUGAACAAG
rnacentral:lncRNA from 12 species